rnacentral:rRNA from 1 species
UCUGCGGCUUAAUUUGACAACGCGGGAAAACUACACCAGGUCAGGACACGGUAAGGAUUGACGGACUGAAGGCUCUUUCUCGAUUCCGUGGAAAGUGGUGCAUGGCCGUUUUUGGUUGGUGGAUCGAUCCGUCUGGUUAAUUCCGUUAACGAACGAGACCUCGGCACUCCGAAUAGCGCGGCGGACGUCGCGGCCUCCGGGCCGUCUUCCGCACGAGCUUCUUAGAGGGACCGUCCCCCGCCGGGGAAGGAGGUGCGAGGCAACGACAGGUCUGUGAUGCCCUUAGAUGUUCUGGGCCGCACGCGCAUUACACUGACGCGUCCAACGGGUGACUCCCGACCCGAAGGGGCCGGGGAAUCCGCAAGGCGCGUCGUGAUGGGGAUUGAACGUUGCAAUUGUUGUUCACGAACGAGGAAUUCCUAGUAGGCGCGGGUCAUCAACCCGCGCCGAUUACGUCCCUGCCCUUUGUACACACCGCCCU